GAUGAACGCUGGCGGCGUGCCUAAUACAUGCAAGUCGAGCGAACAGACGAGGAGCUUGCUCCUCUGACGUUAGCGGCGGACGGGUGAGUAACACGUGGAUAACCUACCUAUAAGACUGGGAUAACUUCGGGAAACCGGAGCUAAUACCGGAUAAUAUAUUGAACCGCAUGGUUCAAUAGUGGAAGACGGUUUUGCUGUCACUUAUAGAUGGAUCCGCGCCGCAUUAGCUAGUUGGUAAGGUAACGGCUUACCAAGGCAACGAUGCGUAGCCGACCUGAGAGGGUGAUCGGCCACACUGGAACUGAGACACGGUCCAGACUCCUACGGGAGGCAGCAGUAGGGAAUCUUCCGCAAUGGGCGAAAGCCUGACGGAGCAACGCCGCGUGAGUGAUGAAGGUCUUCGGAUCGUAAAACUCUGUUAUUAGGGAAGAACAAAUGUGUAAGUAACUAUGCACGCCUUGACGGUACCUAAUCAGAAAGCCACGGCUAACUACGUG
rnacentral:rRNA from 1 species